CUCUUUUCGUUCUUCUUCUUCUUCCUCUUCUUUUUCUCGUUUCGCCUCUUCUAAUUCUUGUCUUCGUUCCUCUUCUUCUUCGGCUUCUUCCCUUUCUUUUUCCUUUCGCUCUUCUUCUUCCUCCUCUUUCUUUUCUCGUUGUUCUUCCUCUUCUUCUUGUUCCUUUUCUUUUCGCUCUUCUUCUUCUUCUGCAGCUUCUUCAGCUUCUUCUUGUUCUUUUUCUUUUCUCUCUUGUUCCUUCUCUCGAGCUUCUUCAGCCUUUUUCGACGACUUUAUGCUUCGAGAUAACCGUUUACCUUUCUUUUUCUCUUUCUUUGCCUCUUCAGCCUCUCGCUUUUCCUCUUCCAGUUCUUGCCUUCGUUCCUCUGCUUCUUGCUCUUUUUCACGAGCUUCUUCAGCCUCUUCUUGUUCUUUUUCACGAGCAGCUUCGGCUUCUUCUUGUUCCUUUUCUUUU
rnacentral:lncRNA from 1 species